rnacentral:rRNA from 1 species
UACGUAGGUGACCAGCGUUGUCCGGAAUCAUUGGGCGUAAAGGGCGCGUAGGUGGCCCGGUCAGCGUGCGGUGAAAGCUCGGGGCUCAACCCCGAGUCGGCCGUGCGAACUGCUGGGCUUGAGCACUGUAGAGGCAGGCGGAAUUCCGGGUGUAGCGGUGGAAUGCGUAGAGAUCCGGAAGAACACCGGUGGCGAAGGCGGCCUGCUGGGCAGUGGCUGACACUGAGGCGCGACAGCGUGGGGAGCAAACAGG